AACAAAACAACUUUCUGCAAGACAUAGUACAGUAAAGGAUUAAGUCUCUGGAGAUCUUCGACCCUAAAUUGGCCCAAUGUUAGAAAAAAAAAUGUCUCCUAGGGAAACAAAAAUUAAACUCUUCAUCUUAGAAAAUUCAAACCAUUAACUCAUACACAUACACCCAGUCUUUUCCCCAGCCCCAGACACAGACAAAAACCAGACUCUUUCUAAAGAGGUGAUUCUUAACCUGUCAUCCAUUAUGGACGCCCUGGAGAAUCUUACAAAAAGUAUGGAAACAGAUUCAAGAUGAUGUGUGCUUUUUAUUUCAAGGGGCUAUAAAUCCCAUGCAGUGUGGGAUGGCUCCAUGGCAUUGAUAUUUAGAAUACUUGAUGUGAAAGAAAUGGUCUUCCAGAAAAGUUAAAGGCAGCUGCUAUUCGAUCUGUUAACAUCUGUCAAACUUCAGAGGUAUACCACGGCUUCCAGUUCUCCAGUAAGAAUCUAAUAUCUCCCCUCACAUCCGAAGAGCCACAAGCUGCAUUGGCUUAUGAACUUGAUGUUCUCACUGAAGGAGUUAGCUAGAAAAGGAAUGGCUGAAGACAACACUGCUUUGACAAAGCAACACAGUCCUUAUCUGGAUCCUCUAGGAGGGACCUGAUUUACCAUCAGGGAAGAAGUGAGGCAGCCUGAAGACCAGCAUGUGGAUUCUGAGAUGCAAAGUCCCCUCUCAGUUGACUGAGGACUAUAGCUCAGCCUUCUUAAGAAACACUUUGUCACUAACAGAAAAGAAAGGAAACCCAUGAGAAGGGAUGCUCCACUUUCUUUGAUAGUCUCUAGCUCUAUGGAACUCUUCUUGUCCUCGGUGUGAGCAACCUCAAUCAGAGAAACUCCACACAUCACAGAAAAGCACAAUGGCUGCAGACUAGGAAAGGAAGUUGUUAAAUUCUUUACUGCACAAACCUACCAUGUCUGUGUGGUUGUUCUAGACUUUCUCAAAGUACAGCACAGGCAAGAAUCAAGCACUGUCUAUGCAAAGAUAGACCAUGGAUCAAGGGUGCAGUCCGGGCCUGCAGAAGGGACAUACUAAUGCAAUUAUCUCGAGCAAGGCAACAUUUGAAAACACAAUUGAUCAUCAUGACUGUGAGCAACAGUUCUUGACAUCAGGUGGAAAGUGACAUCAGGCUUGUCCCAAAACACCUUACAAUAUGCUGGACAGUGCAUAGCUCCACUUCCUGUGCCCCAAAUGUCCAUAGUGCCACAUUGGAAAAUCCUCUGCUUCAGAGAACAUGGGGUUGGAGAUUUGGGAUGCAGGGAAAGAUCCAUGUGUGGGAACAAGGUAGAGCAGGUACCUGGGUAGAUGCAGAAAUUCAGUCUCUUCAAUCAAACCUCACAGAUGCUGCUGAUCUAAGAACAGGGCAGGGAUAGUUUUGACUGGAUAUUUUAUGGCAGAAUCAGACAAUAGUAUCGAUUUGCAGAUAAAAACAGAAAUACUCCCUCAUGGCUGCUGGAAGUUCAUGACUCCCCUCUUCUGAUGAGUUUUUCAUGGUAUGCCUGGAUAUGCGUGACAUAUCUGCAUGACAUGACAUUGAUAUACAUGACAUCGAACGGUAACACAAGUAGACUCGGGUCCCUCUGGGUGCCAAAAGUGUGGAAAUUAUAAACUAAUAAAACCUG